rnacentral:tmRNA from 1 species
GGGGGUGAAAAUGGGCUUUGACGGUACCGAAAAGGAGGGCAGGGCUUCCCCGAAGUGCCCUGAAAAGGGGUGCGGGUCUUCUCCCGCCUUAAAGGGGAGAAAAAGGUUGCCGUUCCAGCUGCUAAUGUUCUCCCCGCAUAAAUGGGGAGACGUUCUCGGAUUCCUUUGCUCCUCGGGAACCGAGGGCGUGAACGAGAGGAGCUCUUCAAGAUACCUCGUCCGCGGGUAUCUUGAGAAAUCAAAACGCGGACCCGGAGGUAAAAUCCCUUGCGGAGGAGGGAUUUAUCUCCUAAACUAUAUCCUCCGCUACGCGGGGUAAAACCCCUGCUUCUCCCGGUGCCGGACGGGGGUUCAAAUCCCCCCACCUCCACCA